rfam:Nematostella vectensis strain CH2 x CH6 NEMVEscaffold_285_Cont22394, whole genome shotgun sequence.
CCUUCGAUAGCUCAGUUGGUAGAGCGGGGGAAUGUAGAUUUAUAAUUGUGAUCUCUAAUUCGCUGGUUCAAAUUCGGCUUACAGGA